rnacentral:rRNA from 1 species
GACGAACGCUGGCGGCGUGCCUAACACAUGCAAGUCGAACGGAGAUAUGAUUUCGGUUGUAUCUUAGUGGCGAACGGGUGAGUAACGCGUGAGCAACCUGACUCUUAGAGGGGGAUAACACCCGGAAACGAGCGCUAAUACCGCAUAAGACCACGACAUGGCAUCAUGACGAGGUCAAAGGAGCAAUCCGCUGAGAGAGGGGCUCGCGUCCCAUUAGAUAGAUGGCGGGGUAAUGGCCCACCAUGUCAGCGAUGGGUAGCCGAGCUGAGAGGCUGAUCGGCCACACUGGAACUGAGACACGGUCCAGACUCCUACGGGAGGCAGCAGUGGGGAAUAUUGGGCAAUGGGCGCAAGCCUGACCCAGCAACGCCGCGUGAGGGAAGAAGGCUUUCGGGUUGUAAACCUCUGUCCUUGGUGACGAAAAAAAUGACGGUAGCCAAGGAGGAAGCCCCAGCUAACUACGUG